rnacentral:lncRNA from 1 species
GCACGGAUGGUUGUGCUAUCCGUCGGUCUACUAGUGCUGAUUUCUCAACUGGGUACAAUUUUCGCGUGGAAAUAUACACAUUACAAAGGAAUACUCUUGCUAUCCAAGGACCUGUGCGCUAACAGGUGCAAGCUGAAACAUGGGUUCUUCAAAGACGGUAAUGGUGUUUAUCAACCGGCUUCAGUUGCGAAGAGAUACAUCAUCAAGUGCCAGUGCAUGGUUUCUCGUCAGCUAAAGACAUACAUCAAGAAAAGAUGGGGUAAAAGGGCAUCAAUAUGGUACAGUUUCUACAACUUCUUCGGGAUGAAGAAGCGGUCGCGGACGUACCUGCAGAAGCGGAUCGUAAAGGAGAAAAAAACGGAAAAGUUCGUCAAAGAAAUCGAGUUCAUAACGUACGAAAAGCUGCACGGAAUGAUGGAUAAAACCGAGGAGAUCCAGCGAAGUUGGAGUUCAAGCUCGAGCUUUUCCUCUGGGUCGGGACUAGGAAGGCUGCCCUCCGACAAAGCUAUCCAGAACACGAUGCCCGAGAUUGAGAUUCAGACUUACGGGGACGACGGGAAGCCGAUACCGGGCAAGAAGCGAACCGUGGUCCUGAGCUCCGCGGAGAGUAAGCAAUUCAAAGACCUGCUCCAGGAGGUGGUGCAGAGGACCAGGAAGGAAGAUGAGAAGACCAGCAAGGAAGAUGGUGAGGCAUCGAUGGCAAGUGUGGCGGUGACUCGAACGACGUCGAAGCUAACUUGCGGCCACUUUUGAUGUGACUCACAGGUUUUGCCUAGAGUCCCUUUAUACUGAGAGUCAAGACAAUGUGAAUCCAUUUCUGAUUGGUUCCCGUGUUUUAGGCCUUCACAGUGUCACCAGAGACAAGAGACCCUCCACUGGCCUCUUCGCGACAUGAGUAGAGUGCCUGUAUAGCGAGAGUAUGGACAGAUGUGAAACUCCGAAAAUCCAUCAGGCCUUCACCGAUGCCUCCGCGAACAAAGUUAGGGCCCAGAAAUGCAGCCAACCUACGAAUUUCAAUUACCCAGAACGAUUUACUGAUACUAUUGUUACGAACCGUCGUUUAUUAAGCACGUGUUUGACUCAGUUUUUGCAUAAAUUUACUUAAUUUCGCGGAAAAACGCUCAUUUCUGUACAUUCUUGGCCAUCUUGGUUAGAAUUGGAAUCUGCAGACUGGCAGUGAAAUUUUGUGCGUUAGAAGUUGGUUAGAUGGAUGGCUGCACUUUUGGGUCCUAAGCCCUCCAUGAAGCGAUCUGUCCAUACUCUCGCUAUAAGCCCUGGAUAGACGAUCAAAUUCCCGAACCAAUUCCGAUCAAAGUAGCAUCAAAGUGUCGGGAGUCAUCAGUCUUAAACUCAUUAAUUUGCUUCAUUUUAAAAUGAAAACUUGGCAGAAAUGUUUCCUGUGGCAAGAAAUGAUGAAUAGUGGCUCUCCGUUCUGAUCUCACUUUGAACAAAAAAGUGCGGCCCGUCAACAUUUGAUGGUAGAUGGUGACCACCAGUCAUCAGCAUACUUUGAUCGGAAUUUGAUCGUCUAUCCAGGGCUAUACAGGUACUCUAGACAUGAGGAGGCUUUUACUUUCGGGGAUUCAACACUUCCUUAUAGACAAUUAUAAGGGAGCAACAGUCAUCACUCUUUUUUCGGCUGUUGACCCACCUACAUGGUGGAUAAUGAGCUUCGGGUGACGUCAUGAGCCAAACAAGUUCCCCAAACUACGGCUUGUUUGCAAAACGAACUGCCAGCACGUUGUUAAACAUCAACCAUGUAGGUAAGUCAACAGUUUAAUGUUGAUGUCCCGAAUGUAAAAGCUUCCACAAUAGCCGAGGUACCCGUGGAGGGUCUCUUGUCUCUGAGUGUCACGAACGGGAAUAAAGAUUACAUUUUCAUCGAAUGCAAAGAUAAUAAUCUGGAAUGGACCGAGGAGUUACGGGUUCGGCAAGGAACAAACGGAAUGAGAGAAGGAACGGAGAAAGGAAUUUGAGAAUGGGCCGAUCAAAGAUUACGAAAAUGUUCAAUUUCUGUAAUCUUUAUUCCCGUUUGUGACAUCCAUGAGGGGGUGUUGUCUUGACUCUCAGUAUAAAGGGACUCUAGUUUUGCCGUCAUAUCGAAGAGAGCAGUAAGUGCAAAAAUGGACCGCGUUUAGCAGAAAGGCACCAAGCCACAUCAAGAUUUCUAAGAGUCUUGCGGAUGCUUAGUGGCAAUUUGACAGCGAACGGAGGCUUCAGCUUCUUUCAGUAAAAUUUUCCGGGCAGACGCUUCUAAGCCCGUUUUCUCGUAACUGUAUUUGGACUGCAUGAAGCAGAAAUGAACUAGACCGAAUCAACUAUUACCAAAUGCAGGGUUGCCAGCCAAAUUAUUUUUUUCCAUUCCCUGACUUUUCCCUGACUUUUAAGUAUGGAUCUGACGCAGUCUGUUAAAGUGAAAAUGAGAGCUAUUUUCGACAAUUAAAUUUUUAGAACCGCCCGCGCCUAAUUCCACGAAAAAUCAGAAAAAUCCCUGACCAACAACGAAAUUCCCUGAUUUUCCCUGACUUUUCCCGGUUGGUUUUUUUCCCCUGACUUUUCCCGGUUUUCCCGGUAGCUGGCAACCCUGCAAAUGCAACCGGGCAGUUUAAUUUUUCACAAGAGAACGUUUGUGCGGAUUUCUUCGUAAAUUUUAAGGAAUUUGCUACGCACCAUGCGGAAAAUUCACUGAAAUUUGCACACAAAUCGCACAGCCGUUUUAAGGUAAAAAAUUAAAUUACCCCUUGGAAUUGGCAAUAUCUGAUGCGGCUCAGUUCAUCUCUGCUUCACGCGGUCCAAAUGAAGUUAUGAGAAAACGGGGGACGCGGGGAGACGCUUCUUAGCAUCUGACCGGAAAAUUUUAUUGAAAGAAGCCGCCGUUAUUAGUUAAUUGUCACUAAUCACCCAAGAGACUCUCUCUUGCAGUUUGGAUGAUUAAAAUCGACCGAUUUUAUUUCAAUUACAUAAAGAGGGUAUUUUUUAGUUUCAUGUUAGGUUAUGUGAGGCAGGACAGCCGUAAGUGCUAUCUUCGGCAUGUUUGUGUGCACAACAAACAUACUUCCAGGUUCGAAAUUGACAGAAGAGGGGAGGGGAAAACUACUGAGAUGCUCAAAAAAAUGUAUUAAAUAUUCGUGAGACAAUAAGUAUUAUGCAAAAAUAGACUAAUUGUAAGAAGAAAAAAACAUAAACAAUAAACUGCUAUUUUACACCCUCUAAACCUCGAAUAUUUUUACACUAAUGUUGAAAUCCUU